AUACUUACCUGGACGGGGUCUAUUAGUGAUCAUGAAGGCUAAUGGCCUAGGUUCGGCUUUCCCAUUGCACUUCGGCUUGGCCGGCCUACCAUCUUCCCAAAGUGGAGGAGUGGACGUCGUAAUUUGUGGAAGCUGAGGGCUCGCGUACGCGCGGCCCUCUC
rnacentral:snRNA from 1 species